rnacentral:rRNA from 1 species
UACGUAGGGGGCAAGCGUUGUCCGGAAUCAUUUGGCGUAAAGAGCGUGUAGGCGGCCCGAUAAGUCCGCCGUGAAAGUCCAGGGCUCAACCCUGGAAUGCCGGUGGAAACUGUCGGGCUGGAGUCCGGAAGAGGCGAGUGGAAUUCCUGGUGUAGCGGUGAAAUGCGCAGAUAUCAGGAAGAACACCCGUGGCGAAGGCGGCUCUCUGGGACGGUACUGACGCUGAGACGCGAAAGCGUGGGGAGCGAACAGG